UAUCGUGGUGACCGUUGAAUGAUUCAUACCAUAGCACAAUUGACCUGCAAUCGAAUACGUAAUUAUUCGAGUAUGAAAUUGUUCCGCAGUUUUUCCUUCGGUUGUGUGCUUCACCACUUAAAAUUGUAUCCGAGGCUUGUAGUGUUCUUCUUUUGGUCUUUUAAAUACAAAUUGAAAAUUGUAAAUUAUGAAAUUGUGUGUUUUAUUAAUAAAUUUGAUAUGCAUCUGCUUCAUGUAAUGUAGCAGGUACCCAUUGUGCAGUCUGACUUCAGCUGUAUUAUUGACUACUCAGAGCCGAGCGAAGUGAUAUCAAGCAAUCUUUAUCAGUGGUCCUCAAGAAGUAGGGUAUUGGCUCCACUUCAAAGUUUACAUAUACAAGAUUUACCAAACCGUGGAAAAUCCUGAUGACAAAAGAGCAUUACAAGGGACGCAUUAAGGACUGUCUUCGAUGGAGAGGAAGCCUGCUGCUUGGAGAAUACACAGCCA